rnacentral:rRNA from 1 species
AACAAGGUCUCCGUUGGUGAACCAGCGGAGGGAUCAUUACCGAGUGUAAAAACUCCCAAACCAUUGUGAACUUACCACUGUUGCUUCGGCGGCCUCGCCCCGGGCGCGUUCGCGCGGCCCGGACCCAGGCGUCCGCCGGAGGCUCCAAACUCUUGUCUUUUAGUGUAUUUCUGAGUGGCAUAAGCAAAUAAAUCAAAACUUUCAGCAACGGAUCUCUUGGUUCUGGCAUCGAUGAAGAACGCAGCAAAAUGCGAUAAGUAAUGUGAAUUGCAGAAUUCAGUGAAUCAUCGAAUCUUUGAACGCACAUUGCGCCCGCCAGUAUUCUGGCGGGCAUGCCUGUCUGAGCGUCAUUUCAACCCUCAGGACCCGUUCGCGGGACCUGGCGUUGGGGAUCAGCCUGCCCCUGGCGGCGGCUGGCCCUGAAAUCCAGUGGCGGUUCCCUCGCGAACUCCUCCGUGCAGUAAUUAAACCUCUCGCGGCAGGAUAGCGGUUGAACCACGCCGUUAAACCCCCCACUUCUCAAGGUUGACCUCAGAUCAGGUAGGAAUACCCGCUGAACUUAAGCAUAUCAAUAAGCG